GGUGGUUUAAGAGAGCUUCCUUCAGUCCACUCAUGGAUGGGAAAGAGGGUAUGAAUUAUCUGCCGACUCAUUCAUUCAAACACGGUAGAAAAAGGGGAGUGUUUUUUCACUACUGUGGAUGUGUGAAUGAUGCGGGAGAUAAAUUUCAUCCUUUUCUUCUCUUUGCUUGGACUGAAGGGAGCUCCCUUUUACUAUUUU
rfam:Morus notabilis contig9277, whole genome shotgun sequence.